AUCCUCCAAGGCUAAAUACUCCUGAUUGACCGAUAGUGAACCAGUACCGUGAGGGAAAGGCGAAAAGAACCCCGGCGAGGGGAGUGAAAUAGAACCUGAAACCGUGUACGUACAAGCAGUGGGAGCCCCACCACUAAGCCAGUGGUGAGUCAUCACAGCGUCAUCCUUACUUGAUGGCAGUUGGCAGAGCGUCCUUUGUGACGCCCAACCCAAAAAAAUCAAGCAAAGGGGGCUUAGUGGUGGGGUGACUGCGUACCUUUUGUAUAAUGGGUCAGCGACUUAUAUUCUGUAGCAAGGUUAACCGUAUAGGGGAGCCGUAGGGAAACCGAGUCUUAACUGGGCGAAUGAGUUGCAGGGUAUAGACCCGAA
rnacentral:rRNA from 1 species